AUUCAUCAGUACCAGUUGCUUUGAUCGUGGGUGUGACGGGCAUGGCAGGAUUGAGCUUGGCAGAAGCUCUGAAGAAGCCAACAGUACUCUCAUCAUCUGCUACAAAGUUCCCAUGGAAAGUGUAUGGAGUAGCUAGACAACCCUUGCCAAGCUGGUUCCCUUCUUCUUUGCUUGACCAGUUCAUAUCAGUGGAUGUCCUAGACCAAACCCAAACAAUCCAGAAACUCACUCCUAUAUCCUCUCAAGUCACUCAUGUCUUCUGGGUUGCCCUCCAACUUCGUGAAACUGAAGAAGCUAAUGUUACUCUGAAUUCUAUCAUGCUAGCCAACGUACUUGAUGUGCUCAUAUCUGCCUCUCCUUCUAGGCUCAGGCAUAUAACCUUGCAAACAGGGACAAAGCACUACCUGGGUCCGAUAUUUGAUCCUCAACUCGCAGACAACCUUGUACAUCAUGAGCCACCAUUCGAGGAGCACAUGCCUAGGCUCCCUUACCCAAAUUUCUACUAUGCUUUAGAAGAUCUAGUGGCGUCCUACUCGCCUUCCAUUACAUAUUCUGUGCAUCGAUCCUCUAUAAUAAUCGGUGCAUCUUCAAGAAGUUUUCAUAACUGUCUGCUCACUUUAUGUGUGUAUGCGAACAUUUGUAGGCACAAAGGGCUACCCUUCAGGUAUCCUGGAAGCAAAUACACAUGGGAGCAUUUCUGUGAUAUGACAGAUGCCAGAGUUCUAGCAGAGCAACAUAUAUGGGCAGCGGUGACAGACACAGCUAAGAACCAAUCUUUUAAUUGCACUAAUGGUGAUGUUUUCACUUGGAAAAGGUUAUGGAAGGUCCUGUGUGAGAUGCUUGAUGUUGAAUUUGUGGACUUUGAUGAGAAUGAAAAGUUUGAUUUGGUUGAGAUGAUGAACGAUAAAGGAAAAGUGUGGGAUGAGAUUGUUAAAAAGUAUGAGCUUUUUAAAACUAAGAUGGAGGAUAUUACUUGUUGCGAUGCCGUUAAUACGGUGUUGCAUUUCAAGCUUCAGCAUGUUUGCAGCAUGAAUAAGAGUCGUGAAAUGGGUUUUCUUGGAUUUGCUGAUACUCCCAAGAGCAUUCGGAUGUGGGUUGGGAGAUUGAGAGACAUGAAAAUCAUUCCUUAAACAUGGCAUGCUUUUUUACCUCUGUUUUAAGGAUUGUCUGAUGCUCUCUGUUGUGGUCCUUUGCUUUCCCCUUGGGGAUUACCGCUGAGUGCUUUUGCAGAGCUUCAUAUUCUGCUCCUGCAGCGGUAAUUGCCGGGAUCUAAGGCAUGGGUCAUCGAGCUGUUGAUCACCUAAUGCUUCCUGUUAUUCUGUUUCUGAUUGUAUCCGUGUUGUUCUGUCGUUUUGGUAUUUUUCAUCUGCAGGGUUUUCUCCAAGGUCUUACCUUGUAUUUUGUUUCUUUAAUAAUAUUUUCUAUGGCUUAUCAAUAAAAUAAAAAGGCCUUUUAUCGUCUUUCAAACUCAUUAUUGAUUGAUAAUUCUGCAGACAAUUCAUCCAGUUUCGUUGUAUUACAGCUCGUUUUCUUAUCCUUUGAGAUUUUGUUUUAUCUGUCCCUGCUUCGCAACGAGUGGAGAUCAAAGGCGCACUGCAUUUUUCGUGUUUCAAUUGAUUUUUGUACGUUUUCUUUUUUUAGGUAUAAUUGGUUUUACAGGAACUCUGUCCCCAGAAAAAUCUUCAAUACUAAUGACCUGAACAGAAAUUAUUAGUAGAUCCGAACUUGGAUCCAUGUGAUUUUUUUACCGGAGAAGCCACUUGUAUCUAAAAUCUAUUAGUUCUACUUAUGUUUUCUAAUUUACCCCUACCGCAAUAGAGGCCAAUAAAAUUUAAGCAGAACUUGCUAAAUCACAAAAUUAUCUAAUGGGAGCAAAGGCAAUUAAAUAUCUGUGCCAGCCAAAGUGAGAGUUCAUCCAAAUCAAACUGUUUUUUAUUGAACUUACAAUCUGUUAAAGGAGUCUUGACGAGCUGAAUUGAUUUUAAUUAGAUAAACCUUCCCCUAGUAAUCAUCAUCCAGCAUGAAUGCUCCAACCAGUAUAUUCUUUUCCCAAAAGAUAUGUUUAUUUCUACUACAUGGGUGGAGCAAUAUGUACAUCUCGCCAUAUCCACCAGUAAAUCAUAGCCAACACCUGGAACAAAGGAAAUUCCACAAUCAUACACACCUUAACAGUAUUCAUGUUCACAGCACUAACAUUACUUUUGUAAAAAGUAGCAAGAGACAUAUUAUGAGACAGAAGCGGGAAAUAUAUUAUGCACAGACGCACAUCUUUUUCCCAAAAGCGAUUUGCGGAGUUCAAUAAGCUUCAGUCUUUAUCGAUCGUAUUAGAGGGACCCAAUAGGUUUAGGGAUUGUACAUUGAAGAGCCUCCAUGAGAGUGAGACACAGGUUUAGAGAAUAUCCAGAUAUGAGGAUAGUUAAGUCUUUUUAAGUUUGAGUAACAGUAAAAAGAUUAAAAAUAACGGCAUUCUUAAGGUGAUUGCAAUCCCUCUUUAACCCUAAUGUUCUAAUUUUCCUAAAAAGGAGAGGGUAAAGAUUGCGUCUGCCAAAACUUCAAUUCAAACAGGAGCUGAAGGCCAUAUCGCGACUUUAGUUAAGGGUUUAUAUUGAAAUAUUAGUUUAUUUUAGUUUUUAGAAGUAUUGUUUAAACUUGAAAAUAUUUAUAAAUGAUAUUUAAUAUGUUCAAAAGCUUAUUACCUAAUUUUUUGUGUUAAUUGGAGUUUUAAGAGUUAUAGUGAAUUUCUAAAACAAAGAUUCUAGUUUUGAUAUUAAAAUUUUGGGUUAAGUAGGUUUGUUUCGGUAGAAUUAAUAUUAUUUUGAGAUGAAGUAUGUUGUUAUAGAAUAUUUAAUUAUUUUAAAAUUUUUUUAAAGGAAUAAAUAUAUCGGUAUAAAUAUUUUGAUUGAGAUUUGGACAAUGUAAUGAUGGUAUAAAAUUUAUAUUGUGAUGAACUAAGAUUGCAAAUCUAAAUAUUUGGACUAUAAUUUGAUUAUAGGUUUGAUAAGGGCAAUUGCGUUUGAGAUUUCAUAUGGAUCCCUUUAUAUUCGAUAUUGAGAAAGAGACCCGUAAAAUAUAGAAAAAUGGUCAAAUAUCCUAGUGGAGACCGUUUGACAUUCAAGUAAGAUCUAAAAUUUUUAGAGUGAUAUAUUAAUGGAAAAAGAUACAAAGAAAAAUAAAAUAGAGAAGAGAUUGAGGAAACUCCGGAGAGAAAAGAGAGAAUAUAUGUUUGAGUAUACAAGAGUGAGUCAGAGGGAUUUGAGAGAUGCGGGAAUCCCUUCUUUGGGUUAGAUAAGUGGUAUAUAUACUAAUUGAUUGUUUUGACAUCCCUUGAAUCAUGUCCCAUAGACUGGAUGGUAAUAUCUUAUUGUAGGCGUGUUAGACGACUUAUUAAUAAUGGAUAGUUAGUUAAUAAAUACAAAGUCGCGAGCCCAUACCUCGUCUAUCACUAGUGUUACAUCAGUCUAGUCUAUUUUACAUGUAUGUAUAUUUAUGGGCUCGGCGAUGCAUCAAGGAGACAAUCAUUGCAUAGGAGUUUGGCAUCAUACCCUAAUCUCAUUAGGUCGUACUCGGCUCGCUCAAUCUAUAUUGAGGUGAGUCCCUCUAAUCACUUAUGAUUGGUCGGGCUUGCAUCUAUUAUCGAGUCUCGAAGAAGUCUAUUCGUCCGUUUCGGACUUUGACAUAAUCAGACGCGUUGUUCUGAUUUUUAUAUCUCAUAGGCUGUAAUAACUUAUCCAUUUCCCUUAAUCCCAAGUUUGCAAAACGAGAAUUAGUUCAGGAGUUCAACAGUGUUUUAUGGUAUAGUUCUGAUAUAAUAGUAUAGUUGUAGAUAUGUAAUAUUUUGUAGAUUAGAAUUGUAUUUCGCCCGAAUUUUCUUUUAUAAUCCCUUAUGGUCUUACUAUAUAAAAAUUUUAAAGUUUGAGCUAUGUUUGAACCAACUGGGUAUAUAAUAAUGACCAUAUUAAAGCAUUUGAUGAGGAUUUUAAUAUGAAUUUAUAUUUUCAGAUAUGUUUGUAUUGAGUUUUAGUUCAUGAAAAAUAUUUUUAUAUAUUUUAAGAUUAUGUUUGAGAUUUUAUUAAGUGUAACAGGAUAUAUAAUAGGAUUGUUAUGGACUCUAGUAGCGGUUUGAUUUUCGGAUCAUUAUAUAGGAAAAUAAGGAAUGUAGUAUAUAAAUAAGUGAAUCAGCAUUGGAUUUAGUAUCAAAUUUAAUCCAUUAUAAAAUUUAAAAAAAAAAUACAGGCGAAUAAAAAUAAAAAGAUGGUAUUAUUUUUUAAAUUUUAGUAAUGUGUUCUCCGAUCCAGAUUAAUAAUGAAUUUAAUAACAGAUUAUUUUUUUAUUAAAUUACAAAAAAAAAUAUAAAAUUUUAAAAUAAAAGCGCCGCAUUUUUCUCUAAAUUUUAAUAACAAAUUCCCUAAUCUAUAGUAACUUUUUGAAUUAGUAACUGUUUUUAAAUUAACAAGAAAAUGUAGAAUUUAAAAAAAAUAAUUUGAUGUCUAAAAAAUUGUAAUGAAUUAAGUCUGCUAUUAAUUUUAUAAUAGAUUAUAUCCCUUAUUGAAUCUGUAACUAUUUUAUUUAUUUAUAUUUAAAUUAUUUAUUUAUUUUUAAAUAAUUUAUUUAACAAUUAAAAUGUAAUAACGGGUGCAGAUGAAUUACUAAUAUUUUGUUAAUUCAAUAAUUAAUUAGUAACGGAUUUAAAAAUGAAUGUAAUAACGAAUUGAAAUCUAUUAUUAAUAUUUUAUUAAUUUAGUAAUGGAUUAGUAAUCGAUUUUAAAAUUGAUUAUUAAAUUUACCAAUAAUUUUAUUAGUAACAAAUUUUGUAAUUAAAAAUCAAAUACAUUUCAAGUAAAAAAAAAUUUAUGAAUUAAACAGUUCUAGAUUUUAAAAACUAUGUUUCUAAUAAUAGAAAUAUAUAAAAAAAGUUAACUUUAAAAAUUUUAAUUUUACAAAAAUUAAAACAAUUUCUACACAUUAUUUUAUUUUUUCAGCAAUAUGAAUAAUUUAAUUUAUUUAAAUUAAAAAGUCAAAACAAAAACUUAAAAUAAUUUUUUUAAUUAUUUUAACUUUUUUAAAAAUAUUACUAAUUUUAAUUGCGCAAGAAUUAAAAAAGUUAUUACAUCUAAAAUAAUUACUGAAGUAAAAUGUAUUAUAGAGAUAAAAAUAUGGCUAAUUUAAAUUUUUUAAAAAUUAAAAAAUAAAAAUAAUUAAAUUAAGAUAUUACAUUUCUAAUAAUAAUAAAAUUAUAAAAAAUAAUUAAUAUUAUGUCUAAACUAAUAAAAAAAAAACUAAAGAAGAGAAGAUAGAGUUAGGGUUAGAAUAUAAUAAUUGGAUGAAAAAUAAUUAUUUGUUGGUUUAUGAAUAAAAAUAUAAAAAUUGAAUAAAUAUUUAAACUAAUUUAAUAUUGUUAUUUUACUAAUUUUAUUAAUUGGAAUUGGGUGACUUAGUUGAAUUUAAUGGAUUGAUCCAACCCAUGAAUAUUUCUAUUCAAGAGUUUUAGUGGUAAAAUCUCAAUGGUAAAAUCUCAAUGGUAAAAUUUUAAGGGUGAGAUUUCAUAAGAUAAGAUCUCCAAAGAUAAGAACUCUAAAGUAAAGUCACAAAUGUAAGACUACAAAAAGUAAGAUCAGAAAAUAAGAAAUAAAACCUCGAAAAGGAAAACUUUAUAAAUCAAAAUUUUAAAGUUUUGAAAUUUUAAUUUUAUUUUUUAAGAAGACCACAUUUAUUUUAUUAAUUAUAAUCAAUUUCAACUUACGGUGAAAAUAAUUAAUUUAUUAAGAAUUUUUUAAUUUUAUAUAAAUAUAAAAUAUACUCUCUUAAUUUAAUUUAUAUUUAGUCAUUUAAUUUAUUUGAUUGAAUUAGAGAACGUAGACAUUUAAUAAUAUAAAAAUUAUUUAAAUUAAAUAACGUGGAUCCCAUCAAAAAAUAUACUAAAAGAAUAUUCUACACCCCAUAAAAAACAUUAGUUAAGUUAAGGAGGAGUUCGACAAAAAAUAAAAAUAAAAAUAUUAUUGUUAUAAUGCCAAUAUCGUUUAUGUGGUCUCAAAUAUUAUAUGCAUUCAAGUAUUUGCCUUUGAGCUCCCUGCACUUCACUUCGGCUGCUUAGAUCUCAGACGCUCCAAUUGCUAUCUUUCCCAUCAACACAAGCUAAUUAAAACUAUUAUCACUCGUUUCGCAUUUUAAUGGAGGAUGGAACUUCAGAUACAUCACUACCAGUUGCCUUGAUUGUGGGUGUCACGGGCAUGGUAGGCUUGAGCUUGGCAGAAGCUCUUAAGAAGCCAACACCACUCUCAUCAUCUGCUGGAAAGUUCCCAUGGAAAGUGUAUGGAGUAGCUAGGCAACCCUUGCCAAGCUGGUUCCCUUCUUCUUUGCUUGAUCAAUUCAUAUCAGUGGAUGUCCUAGACCAAACCCAAACAAUCCAGAAACUCACUCCUAUAUCCUCUCAAGUCACUCAUGUCUUCUGGGUUGCCCUCCAACUUCGUGAAACUGAAGAAGCUAAUGUUACUCUGAAUUCUAUCAUGCUAGCCAACGUACUUGAUGUGCUCAUAUCUGCUUCUCCUUCUAGGCUCAGGCAUAUAACCUUGCAAACAGGGACAAAGCACUACCUAGGUCCGAUAUUUGAUCCUCAACUCGCAGACCAGCUUGUACAUCAUGAGCCACCAUUCGAGGAGCACAUGCCUAGGCUCCCUUACCCAAAUUUCUACUAUGCUUUAGAAGAUCUAGUGGCGUCCUACUCGCCUUCCAUUACAUAUUCUGUGCAUCGAUCCUCUAUAAUAAUCGGUGCAUCUUCAAGAAGUUUUCACAACUCUCUGCUCACUUUAUCUGUAUAUGCGACCAUUUGUAAGCACAAAGGGCUACCCUUUAGGUUUCCUGGAAGCAAAUACACAUGGGGGCAUUUCUGUGAUAUGACAGAUGCAAGAGUACUAGCAGAGCAACAUGUAUGGGCAGCGGUGACAGAUACGGCUAAGAACCAAGCUUUUAAUUGCACUAAUGGUGAUGUUUUCACUUGGAAAAGGUUAUGGAAGGUCCUGUGUGAGGUGUUUGGUGUUGAAUUCGUGGACUUUGACGAGAAUGAAAGAUUUGAUUGGGUUGAGAUGAUGAAGGAUAAAGGAAAAGUGUGGGAUGAGAUUGUUAAAAAGUAUGAGCUUUUUAAAACUAAGAUGGAGGAUAUUACUUGUUUCGAUGCCGUUAAUACGGUGUUGCAUUUCAAGCUUCAGCAUGUUUGCAGCAUGAAUAAGAGUCGUGAAUUGGGUUUUCUUGGAUUUGCUGAUACACCCAAGAGCAUUCGGAUGUGGGUGGGGAGAUUGAGAGACAUGAAAAUUAUUCCUUAAACAUGGUCUGCUUUUUUACCUCUGUUUUAAGGAUUGUCUGAUGCUCUCUGUUGUGGUCCUUUGCUUUCCCCUUGGGGAUUACAGCUGAGUGCUUUUGCAGAGCUUCAUAUUCUGCUCCUGCAGUGGUAAUUGCCGGGAUCUAAGGCUUGGGUCAUCGAGCUGUUGAUCACCUAAUGCUUCCUGUUAUUCUGUUUCUGAUUGUAUCUGUGUUGUUCUUUCGUUCUGGUAUUCUUCAUCUUUAGGUUUUUCUCCAAGGUCUUCCGUUGAAUUUUGUUUCUUUAAUAAUAUCUGUGUUUGUUUCGUUACAUUUCAGCUCGUUUUCUCAUCCUUUUAGAAUAAAUUUGUGAUUGGUUGAGUUUAUAUAUUUUUAAAAUAAAAUAUUAAUCUAAACCGAGUUUAAGUAGUUUUAUUAUAUUAAAUUACAGUGAGUUUCAUAAAAACCUAAAUAUUUAAUACAGUUUUAUGUAUAUUCAAUUUAAGCAAGAAUUACUUUAUUUUUAUAUAUUUUAGUACAAUUAAAAAGUUUCCUUUUUUCAUAAACAAUAAUUUUAUUAAAAUUAAAAUUUAAUCAGGAAAAAAUUAGCAUGAGGAAUCUAUCUCAACCCAGGUCAUCAGAUCUUUUAAUUACAUCCGAUUAAAAUCCCUCGUGCUAAAUUAAAAAAAUCUAUUACAGGAGAUAUUAUUUCAGAUGAUACAUGAAUUAAUCUAAUAUUAUAAAAAUUUUUUAGAUUAAUAAUAAAUUUUUUAUAAAUUAAUAAUGAUUUUUUUCAUUAUUAACUUAUAUGAUGAAAUUACAUCUGUUAUUAUAAAUUUCAUUUGCUAAUACAAUAAUAACGGAUAAUAGCAAUCAAUUACUAAUUUUAUAAUUUUUUAGCAAUUCAUUAUUAAUUUUAAUUAAAUUUAAUAAUAAAUUUUAAAUUUAUUAUUAAUUUGAUAAAUUAUAAAAAAAUAAAUAUUAAAUUUGUUAUUAAAUUUAAUAAUAAGUAGAAAUCAAUCACUAAUUUAAUAAAAUGAAAAAUGAAAAAAAUAUAAAAAUUAUAUUCUGUUAUUAAUUUUUAAAAAAUAUUAAAAAAAUUAUGUUACACUAUUAAUUUUUUCAUUCUAUUUUACACUAAAUAUUAAUAUAAUUAUGAUAAAUUAUUAAUUUUGUUAUUAUAUUUUAAAUUUUAUUAAUUUUAUGAAAACUUAUUAUAAAAUUAUAUAAGAAAAAUGAAAAAAUAUGAUAGAAGGGAAGAAAAUGAAAAAUAAAAGAGAAAAUAAGGAAAAAAAGGAAAAUAAUGAAAAGGAGAAAUUAAAGAAAAUAAGAAAAAAAUGAAGAAAACAGAAAAGAAAAUGGAAAAAAAAUGAGAGAAAAAUGAAGUGAAAAUGAAAGGAAAACAAAAGAGAAAAUAGAAUAAAAUAGAAAAGAAUGAAAAAGUUAGAAGAAAUGUUAGAAAAUAAAGCAAACGAAAAAAUAACGAGAAAAAAGUAAGGCGAAAUGAUAGAAAAUGAAUGAGAAAUGAUAGAAAAUGAAUGAGAAAAUGAAAGAAAUGGAAGAAAGUGAAAGAAAAAUUAAAAAAUUUAAAAGAAGAAAAAAAAGGAUAUGAGAUAAAAUAAAAAAUAAAAUAAAAAUUAAAAGAUAAAAAGAAUAAUAAUAAGAAAAUGAAAGAGAAAAUUAAAAAAAAAUAGAGAAGAAAUAACAAUAUGGAGAAAAAAAUAAAAUAUGAGAAAAAUGAAGAAAUAAGGAGAGGAAAAGGGAAAGGGAAAGAAAAUGAAUGGAAUGAUAAAAGGGAUUUAGUAUUGAAUUUAAUAUUAAUUUAAUUUAUCAUUAAAUUUAAAAGAAAAUUCGAGCGAAUAAAAAUAACAAUCAAUAUUAUUCUCUAAAUUUUAUUAAUUUAUUAUUAAUUUUUAGAAUAGUAAUGAAUUCAAUAAUAAAUUAUUUUUGUUAUUAAAUUAAAAAAAAUAUUUAAUUUUAAAAUAAAAGUAUAAUAUAUUUUUUUAAAAUUUAGUAAUAGUUUUUUUUAAUAAAAUUUAGUAAUAAAUUAUAGAAUUUAUCGCUAAUUUUUGAAUUAAUAAUGAAAAUUUGUGACUAAAUUGGAAAAAAAUAUAAAAUUUUAAAAAAUAAAAAAUUUAUUUAUUGUAAAAAAUAAUAAUGAAUUAAAUCAAUUAUUAAUUUAAUAAUAAACUGUAUUCUGGUGUUAAAUUUGUUAUUAUUUUAUUCAUUUACUGUUUAAAUAAUUUAUUUAUUUAAAUUUAUUAUUAAUAUUUACUAAUUUAGUAACAGAAGUGACAAAUUUCAAAUUUUUUUAUUAAAUUUAUAAAUAAUUUUAUUGAGCAACAGAUUUAGAAUGAGAUUUAGAAUGAAUUUUACAAUUAGAAAACCAAUUAUAUUUUAAAUAAAAAAAUAAAAAAUCAAUUAAUUUUAUAACCUAAACACUUUUAGAUUUUGCAAGUUAUAAUUCUAACAAUAGAAAUAUAAAAAAAGUUAAUUUAAAAAUUUCAAUUUCAAUUUUACUGAAAUUAAAAAGUUAAAAUUAAAUUUAAAAUAAUUUCUACGCAUUAUUUUAUUUUUUCAGCAAAAUAAUUAAUUUUAAUUUUAUAUAAAUUAAAAAGUCAAAAUAAUUUUUUUCAUUAUUUUAAUUUUUUCCAAAAAUGUUACUAAUUUUAAUUAUGCAAGAAUUAGAAAAGUUAUUCCAUCUGAAAUAAUUACAGAAGUAAAAUGUAUUGUAUGUAUAAAAAUAUGGCUAAUUUAAAUUUUUUAUAAAUUAAAAAAAUAAAAAUAAUUAAAUUAAAUUUUAUAUUUAAGGUGGAGUUCGACAAAAAAAGUAGACUAUUUCUCUGGCUCAUGGUCUUAUCUCUUUCUUUUUCCUCUCCUCCUCUUUUUUCUAUAUUUUUUUUAUAAUUAAUUAUUUGAGAAUUUUAUAUAUUGUAUGGAGUGCCUGCCUCAGUUAAGUUAAAUAGGUAUAAUAGUUUUUUAAAUUAAUUUUAUAUUUGACUUAGUGGUUAAUUAUUAUAUACUAUAUUAAAAUAGAAAUACCUUGUACAAUCCAAAUUACUUAACUACUUUGCCCUUGUUAGCAUAUCAACAACACAAAUAAAAGAUUAAUUGUCUUUGUCAUCUCAAAUUUUUAACAAAUUCCUUUGUAUUGCCACUUUGUAAGUAUUCCAUAAGUACACGCAGGUAAAACAAUAAUGCCAAGGUAAUCAAAAAAAUAUUUAAUUCAUUUUUAUUAUAUUAAUUUUUUUAUUUACUUUUUAUAAAAAAACUUUUUUUCUACUUUAUUUUUUUUUAUUUUUAAAAUUUUAUUUUAAUAAAAAUAUUAUAAUAUUAUAUAUUUAUUCUGAUAAUAAGUAUAUUUGAGUAAUAUAUAUAUUUGAGUAAAUUUGAAAGACGGUGAGAAUUGAAGAAUAAUAAUUAGAAUAUAAGAAGUAUAAGUCACCACCGCCUAGAGACGACGAGAACUCAAUUUAGACAGAAACUCAUUACUCAGUUUUCCUUACGGUGAGGAUGCGGAAAUAGGCAGGAAGAUUGACAUAUAGGCUUCAAUUUUGGAAAUACAGCCAUCAAUGACACCUGUCAACUACAUGCAAGAGUUUUGUAAUAUUUUAAUGUUAACGUUUUUUUUUUAAAGAAAUUUGUUAGUUGUUCUUAAACAUAGAUUUAGGUUACAAAAUUUAAUAAUUUAUCUUUAAAGUUUACAAAAAAUAAAAGUUGUAUACUUUUUUAAAAGAAAAUUUGAAUUAUAAAAAAAACUUAACGAAAAGGUUUGAAGAACAAAUAUAAUAAUUAAAAUUUAUAUAAACACUACAAUUAAUUUAAAUAAAAAUAAAAAUUUAAAAUAAUUUAACAACAAUUAAAUUUAGUGCUUUAUUAUAAUGAUAUAAAGUUUUUAUAGACAUUUUAAUUAAUUUAUUAAAUAUUUUAUAGAAAAUUUCCUCCAUAAGUAUUCCACAAGCAAACCUAACUAAAACAAUAAAUUAGCUAAGGUAAUCAGCAAAAUAUUUAUUUCAUUUUUAUUAUAUUAAUUUUAUAAAUAGUUUUGAUUAAAAAAUUCUACCACUAAUUUUUUGUAGUUUUAAAUUUUUAUUUUAAUAAAUACACUGAAAAACUAAAAGUUGUUUGAUACACUUUCAUAUAUCCUAGUUUUUCCUUAUUGAAGGAUUUUACCAGUUUUUUUUACUAUAUUAUAGUAAUAUUUAAAAUUUAUAUAAGACAGAUUAUAUUACAUUAAAGAGGAGAAAUUUAAAUUCAAAAUAUUCAAAAUCAAGUUUUGACUAUUAGAAUAUGAAGUGGUUGGCCUCCACUUGUUUCCAUGUUAACGUGAACUGCACCGUUCAAAAUUUAUAAUAUUUAAUACGAUUAAAAUAAAAUUAUACCGUAAUUGAUUAAUCUGUAAAAAAAGAAAUGUGAGCUAAUUAAUAUUUAUAACAGUCACCUUAAUACUCAAGUCAGUAAAUUAAAAAAAAUAAUAAUAAAUUGAUUAAAACUAAAAAUAAUUGUGUAAAAAUUGUAUAUCUUGACUUUCGUAUUUAUCAAUUUUUAUACUGUAAAAAAUAUAAAAUUAAUUAUUAAAUCUCCUAAAUAUCUAACUGUCAUUGAAUAAUAUCUGUAAUUAUAAAUAUAAUAAAAAUCUAUUUGAUUAUUUUUUUUAAUAAUAAUUUUUCAUAAAAUCUCGUCUUACUAAAAUAAAAAUAAAUUUUAGUAAAGAGUUGAAAAUGACAGUGUUUGAAACUUUUUAUAGGACUGCAUAUUAUCCUAUGAUACUUUGAUCACUCAAUUUUAUUUUAAAGGGAUAGUUAAUAAUUUUAUUUAUACGAAUCAAUAUUCAUAUUGAUUAAUAAUUUAAAUUGAAUAAUCUCAUUUUUGUUUCUAAUUGCUAAGCAGUCGCUCAUUUGUCUUUAUCCUAGCACCCCAAUAAUUCUUAAACAAGUGGCACGAUGAUAUUAUUAGAAUAUUAAAUAUCAAGUGCACAGAGGCGUACUAUAGAAAUUGAUUUAGUAAAAUAAAAAAAAUUAUUGACCUCUUGUGUGAUCAAACACCAACUGAUCGCACUAAAAUUCUCUCUUUAUUUCUCCUUCACAAACGGAUCAUUGGAAAAUAAAAAGCUUCUGACGACUUAUGUUGUAUGACCUUUGUUAAUUUUUUUGAAUUUAGUUUGUCUGGACAGACUUUAUCAACCUCUUUUAAGGUUUUUUUUUUGUUUUCUGAAAAUAAAUUAUAUUUAAAAAAUAUUUUCUAAAAAAAAUAUUUGCUAUAAUAAAUAUUUUUUGAUAAUAUAUUUUAUUUUUUCUUAUUUAUUUUAAUUAAAAAAAAUUUAUCAAUAAAUUUAUAUACAGAAAUCUUAAAAAAAUUUUAAUAUGUGAAAAAUUAUUAAUCGAUUCAAUUCAAUUUUUUUUAAUUAAAAUUAAAUUAAAUUAAAAUAAUUAAAAUUUUAAAAAUAAAAAUUAAAUUAAACUGAAAUAAAUAAAAAAUUAAAUUAAAAUUUUAAAUUGAUUCAAUUUCAUUAAUUUUUUUCAAUUUUAACUGUUCACCCAACUAAUAGUAAUAAUAUAAUUCUGUCAUGGAUAACAAAGAAGAAAAUAAUGCAGUUUGAAAUCGGAAUCUUGGAUCCAAACACUGCACGUUUUAAUUAAUUAAGCUAGGUGGGCUAGGUAGAAAUUUUAAUUUAAUUCACUUAAAUUAACAUAAAAAUAUGUUUAUGACUUUAUAUGAUGACAGAUUUACAGAGAAUUUUUUUAAAAAAAUACGUGGAAAAUGUGGGCUAAAAGUUUAAAAACUUAAAUAAAAAAGUUUUAACUGAAUUUUACAUAAUAAUUCUUAUAUAUUUAUGUUUAUUAAUAUAAAUCUCAAUCAUUUUCUCAUUUUAAUUUUAAUUUUUAUUAUUAUUUUCAAACCAUUUACGCGACAGUCCGGUUAAAAUUGACCCAAAUAAUUUUUAAAUUUAUUUCUAUUUAACCCAAAAUGAUUAAUUUAAGUUAUUUAGUAGUUUCAUAUUAGCUAUUAUAUACUAUUCGAACGAAAAUGCCGUAUUCCGUCGAUGUUGGAUGCUUUUCGUAAGCUAGCAGGUAAACAUUAUAUUUUUCACUGCCAAAUUUGUGAUCUAUUCGUUACAACUGAAUCGGAUACAAUUGUUAAACUAAAAUCCGACCCUUAGAUAUUGUGAUUCGCUAGUAAUUCGGGCGGCUCCACUUCAUCUCACACAAGUAGCUCUUUCCUAGUAGUUUCACUGUGUCUGCACAAUUUAUCUGAUUCAAAGUGACUUUGAUACCAAUUGAAACAGUCCAAAUAACUUUUAAACCCACUUUCUAUUUAACCUAAAAUAAUUAAUCUAAAUUAUUUAGUAAUUACCUACCGAUUAUUAUAUACAAUUCAAAAUUGCAUAUUGCAUAUGCCGUCGACCUCGAAUAAUUUCUGACAAGCAGAUGAACACCACAAUUUAAUUAUCUAUUAUUAUUUUUACAAUAACAAUCUUUUUUUCAAUAAAUUACAAUAACAAUUUUAUCUGCAAUUAAUUCACCUCUGUAAUAAAAAUAUUGAUUGUGAUUAUUUUAUCCAAUUAUAAUUUCUUAUUUGUAUAGUUAUUUUUAAAUUUGUAUUUUAUUAAUAAAAGCAAAAAACUUUCUUUCUUAAUUUUACAUUAUAUAUCUUAGAUUUUUUACAUAUGCUAACCCAUUUUUUUAAUUAGUUGAAUUUUCUGAGCUAGAAGUAGUUUAUUUUUUAUUAAUUUCAUAGAUAAUCGGUUAAAACUUCACGGUAGACAAGCACACCGACCUUUUUUCUAUAUCUAUAUAUCUCCCAUGAGCAAGCACUACUCAAAUCUCACACACCGAUUGCUUUCUUUCCCGUCAACCCCAGCUAAAACUAUUAUCAUUCGCUUCCCUUUCUAAUGGAGGAUGGAAUUGCAGAUUCAUCAGUACCAGUUGCUUUGAUCGUGGGUGUGACGGGCAUGGCAGGCUUGAGCUUGGCAGAAGCUCUGAAGAAGCCAACAGUACUCUCAUCAUCUGCUACAAAGUUCCCAUGGAAAGUGUAUGGAGUAGCUAGGCAACCCUUGCCAAGCUGGUUUCCUUCUUCUUUGCUUGACCAGUUCAUAUCAGUGGAUGUCCUAGACCAAACCCAAACAUUCCAGAAACUCACUUCUAUAUCCUCUCAAGUCACUCAUGUCUUCUGGGUUGCCCUCCAAAUUCGUGAAACUGAAGAAGCUAAUGUUACUGUGAAUUCUAUCAUGCUAGCCAACGUACUUGAUGUGCUCAUAUCUGCCUCUCCUUCUAGGCUCAGGCAUAUAACCUUGCAAACAGGGACAAAGCACUACCUGGGUCCGAUAUUUGAUCCUCAACUCGCAAACCAGCUUGUACACCACGAGCCACCAUUUGAGGAGCACAUGCCCAGGCUACCUUACCCCAAUUUCUACUAUGCUUUAGAAGAUCUAGUGGCAUCUUACUCGCCUUCCAUUACAUAUUCUGUGCAUCGAUCCUCUAUAAUAAUCGGUGCAUCUUCAAGAAGUUUUUAUAACUGUCUGCUCACUUUAUGUGUGUACGCAACCAUUUGCAGGCACAAAGGGCUACCCUUUAGGUAUCCUGGAAGCAAAUACACAUGGGAGCAUUUCUGUGAUAUGACAGAUGCAAGAGUUCUAGCAGAGCAACAUAUAUGGGCAGCGGUGACGGAUAGGGCUAAGAACCAAGCUUUUAAUUGCACUAAUGGUGAUGUUUUCACU
rnacentral:lncRNA from 1 species